GAGAGGAUAUACCAUCCCUCAAUGACUUUUUUAUAUUCAAACGCAACUGACCAUUCGUAAAAUAAUGAUAUGUAUCGAGACCCAGCAUUUCAACAUAAAUCGUAUUCUUAUGCUGGCCGUUGGCUUAUGGCCAUACCAGCGAUCAAAAUUUGUUGAAUUUCACGUAUUCAUCUGUUACAGUAUUCUAGUUAGUUUUAUUAUAUUUCAGCUUACACCAUUCCUAACUUCAAAAUGCAAUCCUAAUCUAAUUAUGAGAACUCUCUCCUUCGUAUUAUUUGUACUUCUAUUUCUGAUUAAAUAUAAUACAUUUUGGAUUAAC